AUUCGCUCACUCAAAAGUAACGACUUGAGUUGAGUGACUGGAGUAAUAGUCGAGUGAAGCCCGGGAAAGAGUACAAGAGAAUGGGGGAAUGAGACAAAUUAUGUGCGAACAGAGAGGCGAAUGAGUUAGGCUAGUUUCAAAUUUAUGACAUUAAAGGAAGUAUUGAAGUAUUGAAGUUCAGAUUUUGUUUCAAAUACAUAGAUGCUAGAGUUUUACAGUGAAUUC
ensembl:ncRNA C50D2.11 ncRNA